rnacentral:rRNA from 1 species
UACGGGGGGAGCAAGCGUUGUUCGGAUUUACUGGGCGUAAAGCGUCCGCAGGUGGCAGUUCAAGUCUGCUGUCAAAGACCGGGGCUUAACUUCGGAAAGGCAGUGGAAACUGAACAGCUAGAGUAUGGUAGGGGCAGAGGGAAUUCCUGGUGUAGCGGUGAAAUGCGUAGAGAUCAGGAAGAACAUCGGUGGCGAAGGCGCUCUGCUGGACCAUAACUGACACUCAGGGACGAAAGCUAGGGGAGCGAAUGGG